rnacentral:rRNA from 1 species
UAGGGAAUCUUCCGCAAUGGACGCAAGUCUGACGGAGCAACGCCGCGUGAGUGAAGAAGGAUUUCGGUUCGUAAAACUCUGUUGUUAGAGAAGAACAGCGCAUAGAGUAACUGUUAUGCGUGUGACGGUAUCUAACCAGAAAGCCACGGCUAACUACGUGCCAGCAGCCGCGGUAAUACGUAGGUGGCAAGCGUUGUCCGGAUUUAUUGGGCGUAAAGCGAGCGCAGGCGGUCAAUUAAGUCUGAUGUGAAAGCCCCCGGCUCAACCGGGGAGGGUCAUUGGAAACUGGUUGACUUGAGUGCAGAAGAGGAGAGUGGAAUUCCAGGUGUAGCGGUGAAAUGCGUAGAUAUAUGGAGAAACACCAGUGGCGAAGGCGACUCUCUGGUCUGUAACUGACGCUGAGGCUCGAAAGCGUGGGUAGCAAACAGG